AUGGAACGGGUUACAGGAAAAGACAGACAGACAGACAGACGGCAAACCACCUGUGGGGCCGCAGCGUUUAAUUUCAGGGGAUCCGGGGGGCGCUGCUCAGGAGGUGACCGUCCCCCGCAGACGAGCCACAGGCCUCCCGACUAUUCCUCACAGCGGGGCCGUGGCCUCCCCUGCCCUCGUGUCCCUGCAGUCGCCAAUCUUAUCGGACCCUCAAGGCCCGGGCCCGCCGCGCCGAGGAUGGGCUCCCCGCCAGGGCUCCUCCACGUUCAGGGACUGAGCCUUGUAAUUCCGCUUUGUUUGCUGCCCACCCUCGCUCAAGCUCGGACGUCUGACAUCUAUUUGUCACUAUUGUUUUGUCUCCUUUCUCCAGCUUGGCUCCAAACUGGCCCGAGCCCAGCGCCGGGUCUUAGGCUUUUGCUUGGUCCCUGGUGCCGGUGCAGGGUGGGGGCGGGGUGGGCGGGCUGCCCUCUGGUCCCCGGGUCCAGCCCCUGGGGACGCGAAGGCUCAGCCCCCCUGGGAACCGUGCAGGGUCGCAGGAGAGCCUCCCGGGGCCCCCACCUCAAGUGUCAGGCACGCAGACGCUGCUCGGACCUCCGCUCACGACAAAGCCACGGGCCCCCACGUUCAGGAGAGCCAACGCCUACUACCAAAGGGGCCGUGGGGCCCAAGUCCCCUCCACGCCCUCCUCCAUCUGCUCCCAGAGCCUCCAGGGAGCCCCGGCCCCGGGCCCCGUGUCCUUCCGCUGCCCCGCGCCGACCCGGGCCUGCCUCUCCACGGGAGACAGAGGGGACAGAGGGUCGAGCUGCCCCGUGGACGCCUCACAUCUCCACCUUGAGUCUGAUUCCGCGGAUUGGGUCUGUCUCUUCCACAGCCUCAGGAGGACCAACCCCCCCCCCCCCAUCAGACUCCUGCAGGGAUCGGGCUGGAGGGGGGUCGAGAGGCCGAGAAAGCAGCCCAGACCCCCAAGCACAUCCUCGUUUGUGCUCAUUUUUCCCAGGUUAUGUGCUGCCGAGUUGA
rnacentral:lncRNA from 12 species